ensembl:lincRNA
GUGUGUGAGUCUGUACACUGCAUCUGGAGAGUGUUGGCAGCGCUUCAGUUUCUCCACAUGUGUUUAUGUUACACUCUUAUUCCACAAUGGAUUCACUUGAUUAACGCCAAAGCCUGUGAUACUGAUGCACAUCUGAUUAUUCAGCUUUUUAUUCUUAAUAAAUCUGCAACUAUUUCUAAAACUCUCUCCACAUGGUCAUUAUGGGGGAUUGUGUGUAGAAUGUUGAGGAAAUCAAAUUUGGAAUACGGCUGUAACAUAAACACAUGGAGACAAAGUCAAGCCGGAUGCAGUGUACUUGUGUGUGUGAGUGGGUGUUUGUGUUUGUUGGUGUGUUAAACCCUGUAUUAAUAUACAAAUGUCCCCACAAAUAUAUCAAAACCAGUAACUGUAACUUUAUGGGGACAUGUUCUGGUCCUCAUGAGGCACACAGGGCUGAUGAAUGGAGGAGUGUGGAGAUGAAGGAGUGCGGAGUGUGUGCUGUGAGGGGUGAGGAGAGAAUAUACAGUCUGUACAGCACAAACGUCAGCUGUGUGUGUGUGUGUGUGUGUUUGAUCCUCAGCUAUGCCUCAAAGCCCAGUGAGGACUACGAGGACCCUCAGGAUGUGGAGGGCAUCCGUGCGGCUCGGGAGAAUCUGGGCGACUGUAAGCUGAAGUCUGCAGAGGACUUCACCGUUCCUGAACACCUGAGGAUGAACGUGGAGAAGAAGAGAGCGCAGCUGCUGGAGCUGGAGAGGAAGGUCAACACACACACACACACACACACACACACACACAUCAAAGCAUUUCGAGCGGAGUGUAUGCCAGUGUCUUUGAGCAGCUCGUGCGUCUGUGUCCUGCAGAUCUUUGAGCAGAAGUCUGAGAUGAACCUGCGUGUGCUGGCGCUGCGGGACCAGAAGGUGGCGCUGCUGUCUGAGCUGCAGGCGCAGGUGGAGCAGCUGCAGGCCGUCCAGCAGACCCUGCCGCUCCAGAAGCACCGCCCGCUGCCCGCGCUGCCCGUCCUGCUGCCCGCCGAGGUGCCCGAGAGGAGGCACCGCUACACCCGCGCCACCCUGGAGCGCUUCAACACGCUGAGACUGCAGGAGGAGCAGGACAUCCUGGAGCUGCUGGAGGCGCAGGACACACACACAGAGGAGGACACACACACCCAGAGCCAGGACACACACGCGGUGGAGGACACACACUCUCAGCAGGAGGAGCUGACACUGCUGGAGGAGCAGAUGAGGGAGAUGGAGGAGGCCAGGGGACUGAACCUGCAGGAGCAGCUGCUUACACAGAUGCAGGACAGUGUGUGUCGCUUCGAUGCGGAGCUGUGUGUUCUGCGUCAUGAGAAGCAGCAGCUGGACGUGAGUCUGAAACUGGCGGACCUCCGACACGUGACGCUGUUCGAGGAGCUGCUGCUGCUAAGGGACUUCCAGAAGAGGGAGGAGAAGCUGACCGAGAGACUGCGCACAUACCGGCAGGAGGAGGACGACAUACAGGUCAGUGUGUGUGUGUGUGUGUGUGUGUGUAUCUUGUAUUCUGUAGGUUGUGGGGCCCAAAUGUCCCCACAAGUAUGGCAUUACCAGUACACGUUAACCUUGUGGGGACAUUUUUUAGUCUCUAUGAGGAAAAGGGCUCAUAAAUCAGACAGAAUAAGUAUUGUGUGUGUGUGUGUGUGUGUGUGUGUGUGUCAGGGCCGCAUGCGUGAGUGUCAGCGUCAGAUGGAGCUGAGGAAGCGUGAUGUUCAGCGUCUGCAGAACAGAGAGAAGAGCAUCUCCACCUCCUUCCAGACGUCUCUGGGGGAGAACCAGCGCUUCGAGGAGUUUCUGACCCGCGUCUUCAAGAAGAAGAUCAGGAGGACCAAGAAGAAAGAGACACACACCGCUCAAGAUGGAGAUCAGUCUGAGGAUGAAGAGGACAGUGAUGAAGACUCUGAUGAAGACUCAGACGCAGAGGAUGAGGACGACUAUGAGGAGUCUGAGGCUGGAGCUGCACUGGACGACACUGUGUGUCCACCGAACUGUGACGCUGCGCUCUUCGAGAACACACUGCGUCUGCGGGAUCUCCGUGUGGAUGUGGAGGAGCAGCUGCAGGACCAGAUGAAGACGCUCGACACCCUGAAGAAGGACUACGACACACUGAGCAAGAAGGUGACAGGAACACACACACACACCAUACAUGCACACACACACACACACACACACACGUGCACACACACAGCUUUCCUUCUGUCCAUCCAGCCUAAAGAGUGUGCAUGUGUGUGUGUGCAUGCAUNNNNNNNNNNNNNNNNNNNNNNNNNNNNNNNNNNNNNNNNNNNNNNNNNNNNNNNNNNNNNNNNNNNNNNNNNNNNNNNNNNNNNNNNNNNNNNNNNNNNCUGCGCCUGCAUCAGGUGCGUCACACACACACACACACACAGGCAACAUAAUGAGACAUCAGAGUGA